UACGUAGGGUGCGAGCGUUAAUCGGAAUUAUUGGGCGUAAUAGCGAGUGCAGACGGUUGUUUAAGCCAGAUGUGAAAUCCCCGAGCUUAACUUGGGACGUGCAUUUGGAACUGGAUAACUAGAGUGUGUCAGAGGGAGGUAGAAUUCCACAUGUAGCGGUGGAAUGCGUAGAGAUGUGGAGGAAUACCGAUGGCGAAGGCAGCCUCCUGGGAUAACACUGACGUUGCAGGCUCGAAAGGCUGGGGAGCAAACAGGAUUAGAUAC
rnacentral:rRNA from 1 species